rnacentral:rRNA from 1 species
UACGUAGGGGGCAAGCGUUGUUCGGAAUUAUUGGGCGUAAAGGGCGCGUAGGCGGCCUGGCAAGUGGAAGGUGAAAUCCCUCGGCUUAACCGAGGAACUGCCCUCCAAACUGCUUGGCUUGAGUCCGGGAGAGGUGAGUGGAAUUCCCAGUGUAGCGGUGAAAUGCGUAGAUAUUGGGAGGAACACCAGUGGCGAAGGCGGCUCACUGGACCGGAACUGACGCUGAGGCGCGAAAGCGUGGGGAGCAAACGGG